AAAAAAAACCCCAACCAACCGUCCCCCACCUGUCGCACCUCUCUCUCCCCUGGAUCCCCGCCGCCGCCCAGAAACCACCGACCCACCCAUCGCCGGGGACCAUCCAACGGCUGGCGCCCUCAACCCUAGGCGCCGUCGCCCCCGACCCCAGGCGUCGCCGCCCCGCCAACCCCAGGCGUCGCUGCCCCUGAAAACCCUCGGACCGGGAAUCACCGCUGGCCACCCACCCCAUCCAUCGUGACGACGCCUCCUACCGUGACGCCGCCACAAGCCUUCUACCACCACACCGAUGUCGGCAUCCUCCCGCAGCACCGCCAGUGCUUUGCCGGUAGAAGUUCGAGGCCGGAUCCGGAGGAAGUUCGAGGGAUCCUCCUGACAUUAACUACAGCAAGCCAGAGCCGCUCGCCGCCUUCGCUUGAGGAUCCUGCGGGAGAAAGCGAGAUUGACCCGCCCAACCAUUGACUCCUCCCGGGGUCUGCCACCCUGCUCCCAUGAUUCGCCGACACCCUUCACCAACACCCUUGCUCCCCGAACCAGGGGCAUUACGCAGUCAGCAGGGCCUCUAGCCAAACACACCAUGCCCCUCAACUCUCGCCUCUGCACCUUCUGCCUUGGCAUCCCUCACGCGUGACCUUCUGCAGCGCCUAUGAUUGACCUUCCUGUCAUCUCUUGCUUGAACCCCUGCACCACUGCUUCCAAAUCAGCUCUACUCAUUCAAAGCUAAAGACCCAUAGCUCGCCGCGAAUUCUCCAGCAACCAUGGUGGCGAGUUGUGCGUGAACCUACAUCCAAAAUUGUUGCCAACGGAGACGCCGCACUGCUUGUCGCUACCUACACCCCGUGGAAGACAGCACCCACGGCCUUGUUGUAGACCUUGCAUGUUGUUGGCAGUCGUACUCUUGGCUACCUAGACGUUCCCCUGCCUUUAGCACCCCCGGCUGCCCCGCUGGCCAACUCCAUAACCCCGCCAGAAAAUUGGCCACCAUUGCAGGUCAGCUUCUCCUGAUGGGCAAGUCCAGCUGCAAAAAUAAGAGUGCAUGGAAGCUUCUCCAGAAAAUUGGCCACCAUUACGGUUGUUUUUUGAAUCAAGAUGUUGCUUGUUUGAGAAUACAGGGAAGAAGAAGAAAAGCACGGAGAAGAUAACACAUCAGCACUUUGUGGAUAACGCGAGACAAGAUACGAAGUGAAUGUGUGCUGGAGAAAUGUAAGUCGGCCACUAGUUAGUGCAUUUUUUAUGUAAAAAGGAUUGGGUGCAUGUAGUUACUAUGUGGCCAGGUCAUUUGAGAAUAUUGUUUGUAAGCGUGCACUGUCUUUUUGCCGCUGAUUCUUAUGCUCAAAUUAUCCCCAAAUUUCUACAGUUUUU
rnacentral:rRNA from 1 species